AUAUCCUAACUUUCCUCUUCUUUUCUUCUUUUUGUUUUCGUUUUCCUGUACUAUCCGAAUUCCCCCCAUUCUUUUCCCUCUUUUGUUUCUCACGAUCUCAAAUCCCCAAUCCCUAAAUAAAAAAUCCUCAAAUUAAACCCUAACUGCUCUAAACACCCCAUCGUAUUCACUGAUUGGUAACCAACAUUUGUCUCACCUCUUGCUCCUCCACCACGUCGAUCGCCAUUGCCGUCGCAUCUUCUCUGCUUGCCGAUUUGGACCCACCUUCAACAAUGAAACCAAGACCAUCUCUGCAAAAUGAAAUUUCUCAACAGGAAAUAAUUUUCUUUGCCAAAAAGAUGCACCAUCAGAUUCACCAAAGAGAAAGCUGAUUGUGUCAGAAAUUUGUGUCAGCUAAAUUUCCCAUCUUUUUUGCAUUUUCAUUUGAUGCAAUUCAAUUAUUUUGAGCACAUAUAUAUAUAUAUAUAUAUUGGAACUUGAGAGUUGGCCUAAAUAAUAUGCAUUUUGGUUGGGAUUGUUAAUGAAAAUUUCUAGCCUCUAGCUUUAGCUUUUUAGUGUUAAUGAACACUGCAUACUUUAUACAGGAAUUCAAACAGAUAACCCUUACAUGGAAAUAAGGAUUUGUGUUGUUGAUUAGAAAACUUAAGCUUUUGUACAACUAAUUUCCAAAAUAAUUCAUGUUUUUGAACAAGAAAAUGGAGUGUGAAUGUGAGUUACAUAAUAGUUCCUUCCCAUUCUUAGCAUUGAAUUUCAAAAUUGGAUCAAUUGAUGUGUAUUCUUCACUUAUUCAUGCUAAUCUGGUUAGGUCUUCCAAUGUUUGAAUGUAUUCAUAUAUUAAUACUCAAGAUAAAUGUUUCAAACCAGUUCAAAUCAAAACCAAACCACUAUCCUAUUUGUGAGACGAUAUCAUGUUGCAACUAUCAUUGAUGGAGAAGCCUCUAAGUGGUUUAUAAGAUUUUUAUUUUUAUUUUUUUAUUUUCUUUUUUCUGAUUUUGAGUACUUUGGGCUGAUUCUUCCAAACUAACAUUGAGGAGCUCUGGGUUUUAUUGUAACACGAAACUUGGCACACACAACCUCCUAGACACGAGAGACUUGUGGAAGAAGACGGGACUCAAAUCGAGUUCUCAGUUUGGGAGUUAUAGUCGAAUUUCGGUCUAGGCAAAUUAGUUCCUUAAGAAACUUUAUUCGAGGUGUUAACGCUCCAAAAUUACCAAACAAUGUCAAAUCAGCACAAAACUUAGCACACGCAACUUCCUUGGCACGAGAGACUUGUGGGAGAAGAUGGGACUGGAAUCGGGUUCCCAGUUUGGGAGUUAGAGCCAGAUUUUGGUCUAGGCAAACUAGUUCUUUAAGAAACUUAGAAUUUGAGAUGUUGACGCCCCAAAAUGACAAAACGGCAUCGGAUUAACACGAAACUUGGCGCACAUGACCGCCUAGGCACGAGAGACUUGUGGAAGAAGAUGGGACUUGAAUCAGGUUUCCGGUUUGGGAGUCAGAGCCAGAUUUCAGCCUAGGCAAAUUAGUUUCUUAAGAAACUUAAAAUUUGAAGUGUUGACACCCCGAAAUUUCCAAACUGCGUCGGAUUAGCAUGAAACUUGGCACACACGACCGCCUUGGCACGAGAGACUUGUGGGAGAAUACGGGACUCAAAUCGGGUUCCCGGUUUGGGAGUUAGAGCCGAAUUUCGGUUUAGGCAAAAUUA